rnacentral:rRNA from 1 species
AUUGAACGCUGGCGGCAUGCUUUACACAUGCUAGUCGAACGGUAACAGGCCGCAAGGUGCUGACGAGUGGCGAACGGGUGAGUAAUAUAUCGGAACGUGCCCAGUCGUGGGGGAUAACGCAGCGAAAGCUGUGCUAAUACCGCAUACGAUCUACGGAUGAAAGCGGGGGAUCGCAAGACCUCGCGCGAUUGGAGCGGCCGAUAUCAGAUUAGCGAGUUGGUGGGGUAAAGGCCCACCAAGGCGACGAUCUGUAGCUGGUCUGAGAGGACGACCAGCCACACUGGAACUGAGACACGGUCCAGACUCCUACGGGAGGCAGCAGUGGGGAAUUUUGGACAAUGGGCGCAAGCCUGAUCCAGCAAUGCCGCGUGCAGGAUGAAGGCCUUCGGGUUGUAAACUGCUUUUGUACGGAACGAAACGCCCCUUUCUAAUACAGGGGGCUAAUGACGGUACCGUAAGAAUAAGCACCGGCUAACUACGUGCCAGCCGCCGCAGUAA